rnacentral:rRNA from 1 species
AACGGAAAGGCCCUGCUUGCAGGGUACUCGAGUGGCGAACGGGUGAGUAACACGUGGGUGAUCUGCCCUGCACUUCGGGAUAAGCUUGGGAAACUGGGUCUAAUACCGGAUAGGAGCCAUCUUUAGUGUGGUGGUUGGAAAGUUUUUUCGGUGUAGGAUGAGCUCGCGGCCUAUCAGCUUGUUGGUGGGGUAAUGGCCUACCAAGGCGGCGACGGGUAGCCGGCCUGAGAGGGUGUACGGCCACAUUGGGACUGAGAUACGGCCCAGACUCCUACGGGAGGCAGCAGUGGGGAAUAUUGCACAAUGGGCGCAAGCCUGAUGCAGCGACGCCGCGUGGGGGAUGAAGGCCUUCGGGUUGUAAACUCCUUUCGCUAGGGACGAAGCUUUUUUGUGACGGUACCUAGAUAAGAAGCACCGGCUAACUACGUGCCAGCAGCCGCGGUAAUACGUAGGGUGCGAGCGUUGUCCGGAAUUACUGGGCGUAAAGGGCUCGUAGGUGGUUUGUCGCGUCGUCUGUGAAAUUCUGGGGCUUAACUCCGGGCGUGCAGGCGAUACGGGCAUAACUUGAGUGCUGUAGGGGUAACUGGAAUUCCUGGUGUAGCGGUGAAAUGCGCAGAUAUCAGGAGGAACACCGAUGGCGAAGGCAGGUUACUGGGCARUUACUGACGCUGAGGAGCGAAAGCAUGGGUAGCGAACAGGAUUAGAUACCCUGGU